UUCUACUCGUCUCUUUAAUUUCUCAUUUUACCCAAAUUAUGUUAUUUAAUUCAUGUAUAAUUACUAAUUGCCUUCGAUUUCGUUACGGAUUCUUUUCAUUUAUGUGAGUUUGAUUAGAAGCGGAGAAUUUUUUUUUUUUUGAGGGGAAUUCGCGUCGAAGAGGGAGUGAGAAAGACGGCGGAUUUGCUGGAGCCGGGAGACUGAGGCCAAUUUGGGCAAUAUUUGGGCCGGAUUUGAACAUAACCAGAGUGCGGCCUGUACAUGAGGAAAGGGAGUAGAGAAUGCUUUGGAGGCCCAUUCUGGGCCUUGUACUUGACUCUAAUAGCGGACUCAGUUUGAUCGGGCGUAAACUCUAGUUUCAAAUCUUGAAGAGAGGGGAAAGAGAAAGAGACAAGAGGCGAUGGAGCCCAAACCCUAGCGAGCAAAACCCUAGCGUUGUUAAGAGGAGAAUGGGUAAGAAGCCUGCUCCCUCCCUCUCCAAUUCAAAUCUCAAAGAGAGCGGGGUUGGCAGCAUAGGCGAAGGAGCCAAACCUCUAACUAGUGAUUACCUUGCGUUGAUAUUAUAACAAUGAGGAUUGGUAAUUUGUUUCUCUUUCGGAGUUUUUAUUUCUACGAGCUUUAUGAUAUAUAAUGUUUAAUUGAUAUACUUAUUUUUCAUGCAAAUUGCAAUAGCGUUCUUUAAAUCUCAAGGUUUUCUAGUAGUGAAACUGAUGGUAUUUUUAUGUAUUGAUCUCAGAAAUUGUUGUUGUGAUACAUGGUGAACAUUUUAAGUUCCUCUCUAGGAAAUUUCAUUGAGCAUGUUUCUGGCACUUUUUUUUCCCUGGAUCCAGCGUUGCUUUUCAUUGUAGAACUACUAAUUAUAGGAAAGAGAUCCUAUUACUUAUUUGAUUAAAAUGAUUUUAAUUUUACCAAAAAAUUUAUUU